UCCAAACUACAAUGAGCAGAAGUGUGGGAAUCAAAGAACAAGGUUUUAUGGAUGACAAGGAUUAAAGGCUGUCCAAUUUUCUACAAUUCUUUGGUCACCUAAGAAUCAAAUACCUUUUUUCUCUGAAAUCUGUAUGUAAAGAUGCCAUUUUUUCAUGUAGUUGAGUCAAAUUCAGAUUUCAACUAGACAUCAAACUAGAGAUGAUAAUAUACAUGUCCAAAAUUAAACAAUCUGUAUUAGGGAGAAUGACAAAUCAUCCAAUAUAGUUAGUGAAAAAUAGUUUGUUAAAGCUAAGUGUAGUUAGUUUUAUUAGUACCUGUAAUUAGUUAAGGUAGUUGAGGGUAUUAUUGUAACUAGCCUAAGGUAGCUAAGGCUAUAUAUAUUCACAUCUGUGUAACUGAAUUAUUCAUUCAAUACAAUUGUAAAUCUUACAGAGGAAGUUUUCUCUUUCUAUAUGGUAUCUCGCCAUUCUGCUUCACAGCACCGACCGUCGCUUCCAUUCGUCAACUCGAUCGAUUUCUGAUCGUUUUCGCCUUAUUCUCUCUGAUUCUUUGAUUUUUGUCUUCGAUCUUUCUUGAAUCUUGAUCGUUGCAAGAUAUGGCUGCUCAAUCUGCAUCGCCAACGACUGGGUCGUCUUCUCCGAUCAUCUCUCCUUCGGUUCAAAACCCUAAUUCCUCUUCUAAUCCCAGUCCUCUGAAUUCGUAUACCUCUCUUACGAUUCACAACAUCGGUAGUAUGGUGCCGAUCAAGCUGAAAAGGUCCAAUUAUCUGCCAUGGCGCACUCUGUUUGCUCCCAUUUUCCGGCAAUACAAACUCCUUGGGAUUAUUAAUGGCACUGAGAUCUGUCCUUCGCCAUACUUGCCUGGUCGAUCGAUGAACCCUGCCUUCAAGGAUUGGUAUGAAAAAGAUCAAAAUCUUUUGAUCUGGCUUAAUUCUACUCUAUCCGAAGAGAUCAUUCCUUUCAUAGUUGGGGUUUCCUCUUCUCGUGAGCUCUGGAUGAAACUUGAACAGCAUUUUGGUGGAAUUUCGAAGGCUCAUCUCUCCUUCGGUUCAAAACCCUAAUUCCUCUUCUAAUCCCAGUCCUCUGAAUUCGUAUACCUCUCUUACGAUUCACAACAUCGGUAGUAUGGUGCCGAUCAAGCUGAAAAGGUCCAAUUAUCUGCCAUGGCGCACUCUGUUUGCUCCCAUUUUCCGGCAAUACAAACUCCUUGGGAUUAUUAAUGGCACUGAGAUCUGUCCUUCGCCAUACUUGCCUGGUCGAUCGAUGAACCCUGCCUUCAAGGAUUGGUAUGAAAAAGAUCAAAAUCUUUUGAUCUGGCUUAAUUCUACUCUAUCCGAAGAGAUCAUUCCUUUCAUAGUUGGGGUUUCCUCUUCUCGUGAGCUCUGGAUGAAUCUUGAACAGCAUUUUGGUGGAAUUUCGAAGGCUCAUGUUCACCAAUUGCGAUCGAGGCUUCAAUCAAUUCAGAAAGGUUCUCAAUCUAUCUCUGAAUAUCUUCAACAAAUCAAGGAAAUUGCUGAUUCCUUGCAAGCUAUUGGUGCUUCAGUGUCUGAUCGUGACCUAAUUGCUGCCACCCUACAUGGAUUGCCUGAUGAAUUCGAAUCCUUCAUUGAUUCCAUCAUGCUCCGGUUAUCUUCUACCUCUCUUGAUGAACUACAUGGCCUCUUACUCACCAAAGAGUUGUCUAUGGCUCGUCGCAAGACUAUUUCUUCAUCCUCUGCAACUGAGCCGUUUCAAGCUUUCUCCGUGCAAUCUCAGCCUCCUCUGCUACCUACUCCAUCUGCCUUUGUUGCUUAGAAGUUAGAACCAACCUCUUCACUCUGCUUCUCGGUUUAACUCAAGUCGGGGUAAGCCAUCUCGAGGUAAUUUCUCCUCCAAUCGCAGUAAUCGCAGCUUCCAUAAUAAUCAUGGUACUUUCAUCAACAAUCGUGGAAAUCGGAAUUAUCAAGGCUCUUGCAAUUAUCAAAGUUCUUCUACUUUCAAAGUUCCUUGUCAGAUUUGUGGUUCAACCAGUCAUGAGGCCAUUGACUGCUUUGAUCGUAUGAAUCCGGACAUUUGUGGUCGCAUUCCUCCGGCUAAACUUGCUGCUAUGUGAGUGCAUCAUUCAGCCAAAUCCUCUCAGCCAUGGUUAAUUGAUUCUGGCGCAACCUCUCACAUCACUAAUGAUGUAGCCAAUAUCUCUUCUCCUACUCCCUACACUGGAGAGGACAAAGUGUAUAUUGGAGAUGGUAAAGGCUUAUCUAUUCAUAAUAUUGGUCCAUCAUCUCUGCACACUUCUCAUACCUCUUUUAAGCUGAGCAAUGUUUUACAUGUUCCCUUCAUGAAACAUAAUCUCUUGUCUGCUUAUCAAUUUCUUAAGGAUAACUGUUCAUUGUCUCUUGACCCCUAUGGAUCCAUUGUCAAGGAUCGCAUUUCGGGGAAGAUGCUUUUGCAAGGACCUGUUAAAGAUGGUUUCUAUCCUUUACAAGGUUCUAUCAGCUCUUCUCCUUCUCCACCUUCAGCUUUUCUCAGCAUCAAAGCACCUGUCACAGUACGGCACAAGCGCUUAGGACAUCCUUCCUCCUCAAUUUUCAGAAGGGUCUUAUCUACCAAUAAUCUUGCAUUGCAAGGCAAGCAAACUGUUGAUUUUUUCUGCUCAGAUUGUACACUUGCUAAGAACCACAAGCAUCCUUUUGGAGUGGCUUCUUCAUCAACAACUCAAAGUCUUCAACUUCUGCAUUGUGACCUAUGGGGAACUGCCUCUGUCAAAUCUAAUAGUGGUUUCAAAUAUUACUUGCUUCUUGUUGAUGACUUUAGCAAAUAUAGUUGGUUUUUCCCAUUGAAGUCCAAGUCCGAUGUAUUUCCUACCUUUGUUACUUUCAAAAACUAUGUAGAAAACUUCAGUGGCAAUAAAAUCAAGAUUCUGCAUUCAGAUUCAGGGGGUGAAUUCACUAAUAACUCUCUUGCUUCAUUUCUUCGUGAACAUGGUAUAUUACAUCAGUUUAGUUGUCCUCAUACUCUUGAACAAAAUGGCUGUGCAGAGAGAAAACAUAGACAUCUUGUUGAGAUAGCUAGAACAUUACUUGUUGCCUCUCAUGUUCCUCAUAUUUUUUGGGUUGAAGCAUUCUCCACUGCUCUAUAUCUUAUUAAUAGACUUCCUAUUUCUGGAUUAACAAAGUCAUCGUUGGAACUUCUCUUCAACCAUCAUCCAGAUUACUCAAAACUGAAAGUAUUUGGCUGUCAAUGUUAUUUGUGGCUUAAACCGUACAUUCCCUGUAAAUUGGAUGCUAAGAGUAAAAGUUGUGUGUUUUUGGGAUAUAGUCUUCAACAUAAAGGCUAUAGGUGUCUUGAUCCCAUUACAAAUCGAAUCUACAUAUCAAAACAUGUUGUCUUUGAUGAAAACUCUUAUCCAUUUAAGUCACUGCAGCUUCCAAGUUCAACUUCAGAGAGUUCAUCUUCCACCUCUUCACCAUUUUUGGAUCUUCAUUUCCACAAACACUUCUCAAGUUCUCCUACUGCUAGUACUUCUUCAGCACCACCGUGUUCCUCUGCUCCUAAUCCUAUUACUCCAAUCUCCAUUUCAACUCAGCAUUCUUUUAAGUCAUCAGAUCGUGGAUAAUUCUCCAAGUUCUUCCAGUUCUGUCUCUAUCUCAGAAUCCUCUCUCUUGCCUCUUCAGCCAAGUCAUCUACCUAUUUCUGAGAAUACAUAUCCUAUGAUUACAAGAUCUAAAGCUGGAAUCUUCAAGUCUAGAGCUUAUGCAGCCACCAAACAUCCACUUCCAGUUGAUCUUGACUUUGUUCCCAAUACGUAUUUGCAAGCAUCAAAACAUGCUCAUUGGAGAGCUGCAAUGCAAGCUGGGACCUAGUUUGGGAGUGAGGUGCUUAAAAAAAAAGCACCCAUGAAAAAAAGCUGUGAGGGUUUUAGGUGUUUGGUAAACUGAAAAAAAAAGGCUUAUUUUGGAAGCUGCUGUGAGAAUAAGUUGAAAUCAAAGGAAAAAGCUGAAGCUGCUAUUUGCAGCUUUGGAAAACUGGCUUUUUUUCAAAGCACACGAAGCUACAAUGCUUCUUUAAUGAAAAGACCCACUAUUAGACUGCUUUUUUUUCCAAAAGCACUUUUACAAAAAAGUUUACCAAACACUCUGCUGAUUUAUUUCACAGCCGCUUAUUCUCAGCAACUUUUUUUCAAAGCAUAGCAAUACCAAACCAGCCCUGAGUAUAAUGCUUUAAUGACCACUGGCACUUGGUCUCUUGUUCCAUCUCAUCCUUCUCAGAAUGUUGUUGGUUGUAAAUGGGUUUUCCGGAUCAAGAAAAAUCCUGAUGGCACCAUUGACAAACACAAAGCCCGUCUCGUGGCCAAGGGCUUUCAUCAACAAGGAGUGGAUUUUCAAGAAACGUUUAGUCAUGUUGCUAAACCGGUUACCAUUCGGAUUCUUCUUACACUUGCUGUCCAACAUAAUUGGUUUUUGAACCAAUUAGACAUUAGCAAUGCCUUUCUUCAUGGCGAUCUAAAAGAGGAUGUUUAUAUGCAACAACCUCCUGGUUUUGUUGAUCCUAACUCUCCCAGUUUUGUUUGCAAGCUGCAAAAAUCCUUAUAUGGUCUUAAACAAGCUCCUCGAGCUUGGUUUGAUAAAUUGUUCCAAGCUCUUCGUGCCCUUGGUUUUCACCAAUCACAAUUGGAUGCUUCCUUAUUUGUUCUCAAUGGUCCUCAAUUGGUUAUUGUUCUUGUCUAUGUAGAUGACAUUUUAGUCACUGGGCCUAACUCUCAACUCUGUCAACAGUUUAUCCAGCAACUUAGCACUCAGUUUCCAGUAAAAGAUCUUGGUCCUUUACUAUUUCUUGGGGUUGGAAGUACACCGAUCUAACAAAGGUAUCUUCCUGCAUCAGACCAAGUACCUCCUUGAUCUUCUUAAGAAAACAAACAUGGAGGGUGCAAAACCUUGUUGCACUCCUCUUGGUUCUAAGAAACUGGAUCACAGUGGGCCUCUCUUAUCCAAUCCUACUGAAUAUCGUUCUAUAGUUGAUGGGUUACAAUAUCUUACUUGGACUCGACCAAAUCUUGCAUUUGCCGUCAAUCAAAUUUGUCAAUUUAUGCAUGCUCCACGAGAACAACAUCUUCAAGCAGCAAAACGAGUCCUCAGAUUUCUUAAAGGUUCUAUUUCUCAUGGUUUAUGGUUCACUAAAGGUCCUAUCACUCUUUCAGCAUACUUUGAUGCUGAUUGGGCAGGUUGUCCAUUUGAUAGGCAGUCUACUAGUGGAUAUUGUGUAUUUCUUGGCCCUAAUCUCAUUAGUUGGAGUGCCAAGAAACAAAGCACUGUUGCUCGUUCCUCUACCAAAGCUGAAUAUCGGUCUUUAGCCCAUACUGCUGCAGAAAUUACUUGGGUGUGCAAAAUCCUUAAAGAUCUUCAUUUUCCUCUACCUCAAUUGCCUACACUUUGGUGUGAUAAUCUCUCAGCUAUCUCUUUAGCUUCUAAUCCUAUUUUUCAUGCUCGAACCAAGCAUGUUGAGCUUGAUUAGCACUACAUCUGGGAGCUAGUACUAGCAAAUCUCAUCAAAGUUCACUAUGUUUGCAGUGAAGACCAAUUGGCUGAUCUUCACACCAAUUCUUUGUCUAAAAGCCGGUUUUCUUCUCUGUGUUCCAAGCUUCCAAUUGGAAUCCUCUCUGAUUCCUCCUUGAGCUUGAGGGGGUGUAUUAGGGAGAAUGAUAAAUCAUCCAAUAUAGUUAGUGAAAAAUAGUUUGUUAAAGCUAAGUGUAGUUAGUUUUAUUAGUACCUGUAAUUAGUUAAGGUAGGUGAGGGUAUUAUUGUAACCAGCCUAAGGUAGCUAAGGCUAUAUAUAUUCACAUCUGUGUAACUGAAUUAUUCAUUCAAUACAAUUGUAAAUCUUACAGAGGAAGUUUUCUCUUUCUAUAAUCUGAUCAUUGUAUGCUCUGACUGGGUAAUCUUGUUGAAACUGUUUGCUGAGCACCUUUUUUAACCAGACAAUUAUAAGUGUCAAAACUUCUGGUAGUAUUUUCAGCAUACUGGGGUCCAAAUCAGAUAACGCACCAUUCCAUAAAAUAUAAAUAACAUGUUGUUUUCUUUGCUUCACGAUUAAAGAUGUUAGUGAGAUGCUUUCAUGAAUUUUUAGGGACACAAACCCCAACAAAUUAAGCUAAACCACCAAUUGGUCAUUGCCGCUGCAUGACCCUUAAAAUUUCACACAUUCUGGGCUGGUUCAUCUGGUCUAAUGUGGCAGACAUUUUGGAUAGCAGAUUACACAUAUAUAAAGAACCAAUUUGAAUGGAACCAU
rnacentral:lncRNA from 1 species